rnacentral:rRNA from 1 species
GUGGGGAAUAUUGGGCAAUGGGCGAAAGCCUGACCCAGCGACGCCGCGUGGGGGAAGAAGUCCCUCGGGAUGUAAACCCUUGUUGUACGGGACGAAGGAAGUGACGGUACCGUACGAGGAAGCCCCGGCAAACUACGUGCCAGCAGCCGCGGUAAUACGUAGGGGGCGAGCGUUGUCCGGAAUCACUGGGCGUAAAGCGCACGUAGGCGGGCUGUUAAGUCGGCCGUGAAAGGCACUGGCUCAACCGGUGUUUGUCGGUCGAUACUGGCAGUCUGGAGUAUGGGAGAGGGAACUGGAAUCCCCGGUGUAGCGGUGAAAUGCGUAGAUAUCGGGAGGAACACCAGUGGCGAAGGCGGGUUCCUGGCCCAUGACUGACGCUGAGGUGCGAAAGCCGGGGGAGCGAACGGGAUUAGAUACCCCUGUAGUCC